GCUCUUGCAUCGAUGAAGAACGUAGCGAAAUGCGAUACUUGGUGUGAAUUGCAGAAUCCCGUGAACCAUCGAGUCUUUGAACCCAAGUUGCGCCCGAAGCCAUUAGGCCGAGGGCACGCCUGCCUGGGUGUUGCACAUCGUUGCCCCCGUGCCUUGGCCACGU
rnacentral:rRNA from 1 species